UACGUAGGGGGCAAGCGUUGUCCGGAAUCAUUGGGCGUAAAGAGCGUGUAGGCGGUUCGGUAAGUCGGCUGUGAAAGUCCAGGGCUCAACCCUGGGAUGCCGGUCGAUACUGCCGGACUAGAGUUCGGAAGAGGCGAGUGGAAUUCCCGGUGUAGCGGUGAAAUGCGCAGAUAUCGGGAGGAACACCUAUGGCGAAGGCAGCUCGCUGGGACGUUACUGACACUCAGGGACGAAAGCUAGGGGAGCGAAUGGG
rnacentral:rRNA from 1 species